rnacentral:rRNA from 1 species
CCUACGGGAGGCAGCAGUGAGGAAUAUUGGUCAAUGGACGGAAGUCUGAACCAGCCAUGCCGCGUGCAGGAAGACGGCCCUAUGAGUUGUAAACUGCUUUUGUACAAGGGUAACCUGAUUACGUGUAUUCAGCUGAACGUACUGUACGAAUAAGGAUCGGCUAACUCCGUUCCAGCAGCCGCGGUAAUACGGGGGAUCCAAGCGUUAUCCGGAUUUAUUGGGUUUAAAGGGUGCGUAGGCGGAUUGAUAAGUUAGAGGGGAAAUGCCCGGGCUUAACGCGGGAACUGCCGCUAAUACUGUUGUGCUGGAGAGUGGAUGCGGUAGGAGGAAUGUGUGGUGUAGCGGUGAAAUGCUUAGAGAUCAUACAGAACACCGAUUGCGAAGGCAGCUUACCAAUCUAUAUCUGACGUUGAGGCACGAAAGCGUGGGUAGCAAACAGGAUUAGAUACCCUUGUAGUC